rnacentral:rRNA from 1 species
AAUGAAUGCUGGCGGCGUGCCUAACACAUGCAAGUCGAGCGGCAGCGCGAGUAGUUUACUACUUGGCGGCGAGCGGCGGACGGCUGAGUAACGCGUGGGAACGUGCCCCAAAGUGAGGAAUAACUGCCCGAAAGGGUAGCUAAUGCCGCAUAUGGUCUUCGGAUUAAAGUAUUUAUACGCUUUGGGAGCGGCCCGCGUCGGAUUAGGUAGUUGGUGAGGUAAAGGCUCACCAAGCCGACGAUCCGUAGCUGGUCUUAGAGGAUGAUCAGCCAGACUGGAACUGAGACACGGUCCAGACUCCUACGGGAGGCAGCAGUGAGGAAUCUUCCACAAUGGGCGAAAGCCUGAUGGAGCAACGCCGCGUGAAGGAUGAAGGCCUUAGGGUUGUAAACUUCUUUUAUAAGUGAAGAAUAUGACGGUAACUUAUGAAUAAGCACCGGCUAACUACGUGCCAGCCGCCGCAGUAA